rnacentral:lncRNA from 1 species
CCCCUUUCCAUGGCAACACCCUGAUGGCCGAAAGUUACUACCCUUAUUCCAGAAAUCUCUGCAUAAUCUGUCGGUUUGCAUAUAAUUAACAGUGGCUAUAAAUGUGAGUGCAGCCCUGUCCUGUCCUCAGCUGCUGCCCUGGGCGCACUGCCUUGCGGGUCACUGUGGCUGCUCCUGUGCUUCAGCGGGACUAGAAGCUGCCGCCCACGGGCAGCGGGGAAGAAAUCUGGGCAAAGCCAUGAGCCCUCCGAGGCUGAGCUCCAGUUUAGGGGCUCACCUGCCUUGCAUCGUUCCGAGUCCUGUACUGGACUGCAUCAGGCCGCGUCUCCUCAGGGUGACAGAAACCAGGCAGUGAUUCAACUCGUAUUUGACUUUCACAUUCUCCAGCAAUGUUCUUCAAUCUGGGAAGGGUAGAAAAUUAAAGAAAGGUAAGGAGAGUUAAAAAAUGAGAUCAUUUCAAAGUAGAUGCAGUCUUGAAGCCCAAAUGAAUUACGAGAUCCAGUUUGAAAGCUGCUGCAGAAGUGAUUUCAGAAUCGCGCGGUGGCUCCGGAAUGGGGAACUGCUGCUGAAAGAGGUCGGAAAGGGUGGGGACUGAAUUUCGGGUAAGAGGACGCCAGUGGUUCUGGAGCACGCGGCCUUCAGCCAUGCCUGCGUUCACAAGUACAUUAUUUCAGACUCACUCCAAGUUUACAUCUCUAAGCCCAUCCAAGCCAUGGCAGCGCGAACCUCUCCCUCCCCCAGCUCAAGGCCUCUGGGCCCCCAGGACAGAGGACAGAAGAGCCAGCCCCUCCUGGCUCAGGGUUGCCGGGACCCCGUGAUGGCUGCUGUGCCUCUCCUGAGGUGCCAGGUGAGAGCUGAGACUUCUGCUCCCGCUGCACCAGCUCCGUUUGUCUCCAGGCGCAGUGUCAGUCUCGUUCUUUAAGCGCUUCUGAGGUCCCAUCAGCACAGGUCUCGUCUUACCUGGAAAGGCUUGUUGCCUUGUGCCUGGGACUUUUUAUUCUGUGCUUUUCUUCUGGAUAUUAAAUUUCAUAUCCACGCUUGCUUGUCACUCAG